UAUCCGUAGGUGAACCUGCGGAGGGAUCACUACAGGCUUGCAAAAGCUCUGAAACCACUGUUUAUCUACCUGCAUCUGCUUCGGCGGGCGGCCCCAGGGCGGUGCCGUAGCCGCAAGGCGCCCGCCGAAAGCCCCUAAACUCUGUUGCCUUGUGAAUCUCUGAGUAAUUAUAUUAAAAAAAAACAACUUUCAACAACGGAUCUCUUGGCUCUG
rnacentral:misc_RNA from 1 species